AACAAUAGCAACUCGAAAUAAAAUACAAACGUCGAUCAAACAAAUAUAAUAAUAAUAUAAUUCAAAUAAAAUGACUGAAUUUGAUGAAACACCUGAACCACCAAUAAAACCUCAAGAAAGAAAGAAAAACUACUUCGAAAAAUUUUUUUGUGUCGUCAGUUGUACCUUGAACAAGCCGGUGGAGAUACUUCACGAUACUUUUGUGACACCUGAUCGGAAAGAAUAUGCAUGGUAUCAUCAGAAGUUUCCACGUGUGCCUACAAUUGAUGAAUGCUACGAAGAUGAUCUAGUAUGUUUCUCAGAAGCUAAUUAUCAAUACAAGAGGGAUCGCCUUGUUGAUUCGGAAAUUAUUAGAAUUUUAAGGCAGCGUUUUGAAAACUGCGUCAUGUAUGAAACACCUCAGCACUUGGAAAGAUGUGAUCAUCUUUUAAAAGAAUACGACGAGGCUAGUACAAACUGGUUCACAAAGUAUGGAGAUCUUGGUGGGUAUCACAAUGUUACUAAAUGUUAUAUGAAGCAGAAACAUCGAUUGCUUUGGGAAAGAAAAUAUGGGGAAGUCGGUACUGGAAUGAAUGAAAAGGUAGAAGAGGACAUUGAAGAUGAUGAAAAGAACCAGAAACAUGGGUGCUAGAGUGGUGUACAAUAAGAAGAAUAAUAGAUGUAAUUGGACAUCUAUCCAAGCUUUGCACUGCUGUAAUUUACUAAUGAAGACGAUUAGAGGUGUAAUAAGUUUGUGAUUGUGUUGAAUACGCUGCAUAUAUAUACAAAUUAAAUUCGGAUUCAGGAUAUUUCUACGAUUUUAAGGCUAAUAAGUGUAUGAUGGCGCCAUCUUGGUUCAUUUUAAACAACUAAUUCAUACACAAACUUUCAUCCCUUAUUCUUUUCAAAUUCUAGGUUUUUCUCUUCAAAAAUGUUAAUGUUUUAUUCAUGUAAAGCACCUAGAAAAACUGUACUGAUAAGGGAAACCUGAAUUAAAACUGCGUGAUUUAGAAAUUGUCUUACUGUUUUGCUAUAUAUGUACUUUAAAAAUUAAAAUGUCUGACAUGGUUAA